rnacentral:rRNA from 1 species
GACGAGCGCUGGCGGCGUGCUUAACACAUGCCAGUCGAACGGAAAGGCCUGCUUUCCCUUGUGGAUUGCGGGUACUCGAGUGGCGAACGGGUGAGUAACACGUGAGUGAUCUGCCCCCAACUUGGGUAUAAGCCUGGGAAACUGGGUCUAAUUCCCGAUAGGACUGCAGGGUGGUGCCUGUGGUGGAAAACGAUUUUCUAGUGGUUGGGGAUGAGCUCGCGGCCUAUCAGCUUGUUGGUGGGGUAAUGGCCUACCAAGGCGGCGACGGGUAGCCGGCCUGAGAGGGUGGACGGCCACAUUGGGACUGAGAUACGGCCCAGACUCCUACGGGAGGCAGCAGUGGGGAAUAUUGCACAAUGGGCGGAAGCCUGAUGCAGCGACGCCGCGUGGGGGAUGACGGCCUUCGGGUUGUAAACUCCUUUCGACCGCGAGGAAGCCACCUGGUUGGAAGGGUGGUGACGGUAGUGGUAGAAGAAGCACCGGCUAACUACGUG